rnacentral:rRNA from 1 species
UACGUAGGGGGCAAGCGUUGUCCGGAAUUAUUGGGCGUAAAGAGCGCGUAGGCGGUCCGAUAAGUCGGCUGUGAAAGUCCAGGGCUCCAACCCUGGAAAGCCGGCCGAUACUGUCGGACUAGAGUCCGGAAGAGGAGAGUGGGAAUUCCUGGUGUAGCGGUGAAAUGCGCAGAUAUCAGGAAGAACACCCGUGGCGAAGGCGGCUCUCUGGGACGGUACUGACGCUGAGACGCGAAAGCGUGGGGAGCGAACAGG